GCCAUUUCAGAGCCAGGUAGGCCCAGUAUGGACGUGCGGGACAGCACAUCUAAGGUGACAGAAAUGCUUUAUGUUUUAUAAAAUCAGCCUCCCUGUUUCCUCCUGGGAUCUGUUUAUAGGCCACGCUUUGAGUCCUGGGAAAUGACACCACUGAAGACAAGUCCAGGAGAGGUAAAACUUUUCCCCACUGAAAUGACCUUGCUCCAUCUCCCUACAGUUCUAACACAUUAAGGAAUCCCUUGUGGUACGGCAAGCUUGAAAGGAUUCCUAUUACACUGUCAGCUGCAGCCAUGGACGCCUCUUGCCAGGGAGCAUCAUCUAGCUUGUAUUUCUGUUUCGGAAAUUGCUAUGCUUGAUGCUUGACGCUUGUGAGUGCAUUGUCUUCAGUAAAGGAAAUGCACAACUCCCCUGAGAUACUGGGAGUAUAUCUCUUAACUAACAGAAAGUUCACAGCAGGUCUUUAUUCACCCCAGAAGCUCCAUCGUUGCAAAGCUUAGGAUACUAUUAACUGUUCCUUCUGCCCUGCCUUGCACCUUUGCAAGCACUUCACAUUUAUACCUUGUUUAGCAAACAUCUUAGUGAUCAAGUCAUUGUUAGAUGUGUUUUACUCUGGUCAAUGGGUCUGCUUUAGAAUAAACAAUUUGUUAAAACUGUUCAAAGUAUCCAGUGAAAGCAUCAACUCUUUAUGGGAGAACAAGAAGGUCACCACGCUUAUAAGGAGUGAAGUAAUUCUGUGCAUAUUAAAGCUUUUCUUGGUGUCACAUGUCAAAAUAACUUGAAAUUUUCUUCUGUUGGAAAUCAUUCUGAAGCAAAGCUAACCAUCUUUAUGCAAACAAAAGAUAAAUCCAAGUAGUUCCACAGAAAUGAGGAGAAGAAAAAUGACUCAUGAUUGGCAGUUUUAAAAGCCUCAGAUUUCUUUGUGCCUAAACCCAAAUACCCUUAUAUGGAACCAUUAUUGUCUGUUACUUAUUAGUCUUUGGGUUGUAAGAGUUAGUUAUACUUUGGGGCUUACCUUUGACCACAAAAUGUUGUUGUCCUAUGUUUUGCUUCCAUUAGGCAAUAUAUAUUAAAUAUUGGCCUUUCACUUUUUGAAAGAAUUACAAUAAGUGUUAAUAUCAAAACUAAU